rnacentral:rRNA from 1 species
UACAGAGGGUGCGAGCGUUGUCCGGAAUCACUGGGCGUAAAGGGCGCGUAGGUGGCCUGGUAAGUAGGGGGUGAAAUCUCGAGGCUCAACUUCGAGGCUGCCUCCUAAACUGUCAGGCUUGAGCAGAGUAGAGGCAGGUGGAAUUCCCGGUGUAGCGGUGGAAUGCGUAGAGAUCGGGAAGAACACCGGUGGCGAAGGCGGCCCGCUGGGCAGUUGCUGACACUGAGGCACGAAAGCGUGGGUAGCAAACAGG